rnacentral:rRNA from 18 species
UAGAUAAGGGCGCACGGGGGAUGCCUAGGCUCUCAGAGACGAAGAAGGACGUGUUAAGCUGCGAAAAGCUACGGGGAACUGCACAAGAGUAUUGAUCCGUAGAUAUCCGAAUGGGGCAACCCGACUAGUUGAAGACUAGUCACCGAAAGGAGUGAACCCGGGGAACUGAAACAUCUAAGUACCCGGAGGAAGAGAAAACAAUAGUGAUUCCCUGAGUAGCGGCGAGCGAAAUGGGAAUAGCCCAAACCGUAAUAGUUACGGCUAUUGCGGGGUUGUAGGACUGCAACAUGGACUAUACAAGUAUAAUCGGAAUGGCAUGGGAAGGCCAAUCAUAGAGGGUGAGAAUCCCGUACGAGUAGAAUUGUAUUACCUAGCAGGAUCCUGAGUAGGGCGGGACCGGAGAAAUCCCGUCUGAAUCUGCCGGCACCAUCCGGUAAGGCUAAAUAC